rnacentral:rRNA from 1 species
UACGUAGGGUGCAAGCGUUAAUCGGAAUUACUGGGCGUAAAGCGUGCGCAGGCGGUGAUGUAAGACAGGUGUGAAAUCCCCGGGCUUAACCUGGGAACUGCAUUUGUGACUGCAUCGCUGGAGUGCGGCAGAGGGGGAUGGAAUUCCGCGUGUAGCAGUGAAAUGCGUAGAUAUGCGGAGGAACACCGAUGGCGAAGGCAAUCCCCUGGGCCUGCACUGACGCUGAGCUGCGAAAGCUAGGGGAGCAAACAGG